CAAAUUAAAGCUUUAUUAGUAAAGUGUUUUAUUUACAUUAAAAGGAAGUUGUGCAAAUCAAUAUAAUUUGA
rnacentral:tRNA from 1 species